rnacentral:rRNA from 1 species
CCUACGGGGAGCAGCAGUGAGGAAUAUUGGUCAAUGGGCGGAAGCCUGAACCAGCCAAGUAGCGUGCGGGAUGAAGGCCCUACGGGUCGUAAACCGCUUUUGCACGGGGAUAACACCCUCCACUUGUGGAGUUCUGCAGGUACCGUGCGAAUAAGGGCCGGCUAAUUCCGUGCCAGCAGCCGCGGUAAUACGGAAGGCCCGAGCGUUAUCCGGAUUUAUUGGGUUUAAAGGGUGCGCAGGCGGCCUGUUAAGUCAGCGGUAAAAGCCCGGGGCUCAACCCCGGCGCGCCGUUGAAACUGGCGGGCUGGAGUUGGAGAGAAGUACGCGGAAUGCGCGGUGUAGCGGUGAAAUGCUUAGAUAUCGCGCAGAACCCUGAUUGCGAAGGCAGCGUACCGGAUCCAAACUGACGCUGAGGCACGAAAGCGUGGGUAUCGAACAGGAUUAGAUACCCGGGUAGUC